UUAACAACUCCAAAGACAUGUUGCUUUACCUCUUUUUACUUUGCUCUCACUUCAUAGCCCUGGGUUCCAUGAACAGCAUAACGCCAGAAAGUCCUGAAGAACAUGUUGCAGAGGGAGGAAACAUCAACCUGACCUGUAAAUAUGAGGGUGCUAUCUACAAUAUCCAGUGGUACCGACAAUACCAGAGAUCCAGACCAGAGUUCCUGCUCUACAUCACAGAGGGAGGAACGAUUCAUCCAGCUGAUUCUGUUUUCUCAGCUCACAUUAAUAAAGAAGAGAAACGUGUGAAUCUGGAGAUCAUCUCAGCUAAAGUGACAGACUCUGCUGUGUACUACUGUGCUCU